rnacentral:rRNA from 1 species
CUAAGAGAAUGGUCUAACAAGGAUUAACUCUCUUAUUUUCUAAAAUAGACGUUGAUUUAGAAUGAAAAAAAGUUUUUGUUAAAUUUUGGGACAAUAAGGCCCUAUGAAUUUUUCGUUAAGAAAUUUUUAUAACUAGCUAAAAAGUUAAUAAAAUGUUUUAUGUUGGUUGGGGCGAUUUUUAAGGAUUAUAGAUCUUCAGAAAAAAUAUAUAUAAAAUAGAUCCAUCAAUGGGGGAUAUUUAUAAAAAAUACUCUAGGGAUAACAGCGUAAUAGCUUUGGCUUAUAGAUAAAGUGGUUUGCGACCUCGAUGUUGGAUUAGGAUUCUUCUAAAAUGUAGAAGUCUUAGAAACAAGGUUGCUCAACUUUUAAGAUCUUACAUGAUCUGAGUUCAGACCGG